CACGCCGUAAACGAUGUUCACUAGGUGUUGAGGGUAUUGACCCCUUCAGUGCCGAAGCUAACGCAUUAAGUGAACCGCCUGGGGAGUACGGUCGCAAGAUUAAAACUCAAAGGAAUUGACGGGGGCCCGCACAAGCGGUGGAGCAUGUGGUUUAAUUCGAUGCAACGCGAAGAACCUUACCUGGGCUUGACAUCCCGGGAAUCUUCUGGAAACAGGAGAGUGCCCUUCGGGGAACCCGGAGACAGGUGC
rnacentral:rRNA from 1 species